AUUGAACGCUGGCGGCAGGCCUAACACAUGCAAGUCGAACGAGUGGCGGACGGGUGAGUAAUGUCUGGGAAAAUGCCUGAUGGAGGGGGAUAACUACUGGAAACGGUAGCUAAUACCGCAUACCAUCGGAUGUGCCCAGAUGGGAUUAGCUAGUAGGUGGGGUAAAGGCUCAGCUAGGCGACGAUCCCUAGCUGGUCUGAGAGGAUGACCAGCAACACUGGAACGGAGACACGGUCCAGACGCCUACGGGAGGCAGCAGUGGGGAAUAUUGGACAAUGGGCGCAAGCCUGAUGCAGCCAUGCGGCGUGUAUGAAGAAGGCCUUCGGGGUGUAAAGUACGUUCAGCGGGGAGGCGUUACCCGCAGAAGAAGCACCGGCUAACUCCGUGCCAGCAGCCGCGGUAAUUC
rnacentral:rRNA from 1 species